UACGUAGGUCGCAAGCGUUGUCCGGAUUUACUGGGCGUAAAGAGCGCGCAGGCGGCUGGUCAAGUCCGAUGUGAAAUCUCCCGGCUCAACUGGGAAACUGCAUCGGAAACUGAUCGGCUUGAAGAUGGGAGAGGGUAGAGGAAUUCCCGGUGUAGCGGUGAAAUGCGCAGAUAUCGGGAGGAACACCAAUGGCGAAGGCAGCUUGCUGGGACGGUACUGACGCUGAGGCGCGAAAGCGUGGGGAGCAAACAGG
rnacentral:rRNA from 1 species